rnacentral:rRNA from 1 species
AAGUAGUUAAGAGCGUAUGGAGGAUGCCUUGGCUCUCAGAGACGAUGAAGGACGUGCUAAGCUGCGAUAAGCUACGGGAAGUUGCACAGAAACUGUGAUCCGUAGAUUUCCGAAUGGGGCAACCCAGCAUAUUGAAGAUAUGUUAUCCUUAGGGAGGUUAACCCGGAGAACUGAAACAUCUAAGUACCCGGAGGAAGAGAAAACAAUAGUGAUUCCGCAAGUAGUGGCGAGCGAACGCGGAACAGCCCAAACCUUGAUCGUUACGGCGGUUGAGGGGUUGUAGGACUGUAAUAUGGACUUUAUAAUGAACGAGAAUGAUCUGGGAAGGUCAACCAUAGAGGGUGAAAGUCCCGUAUUGGUAAAAUUAUAAUACCUAGCAGUAUCCUGAGUAGGACGGGACCGGAGAAAUCCCGUUUGAAUCCACCGGCACCAUCCGGUAAGGCUAAAUACUCCUGAGAGACCGAUAGUGAACAAGUACCGUGAGGGAAAGGUGAAAAGUACCCUGAAUAAGGGGGUGAAAUAGUACCUGAAACCAUACGCUUACAAACGGUCGGAGCAGCUUUGUGCUGUAACGGCGUGCCUUUUGCAUAAUGAGCCUACGAGUUAGUGUUGUUGGCAAGGUUAAUACUUUAAGAGUUGAAGCCGAAGCGAAAGCGAGUCUUAACAGGGCGAUCAGUCAGCAGUACUAGACGCGAAACUUGGUGAUCUACCCAUGACCAGGGUGAAGUGUGAGUAACAUCACAUGGAGGCCCGAACCAGUUGACGUUGAAAAGUCUUUGGAUGAGUUGUGGGUAGGGGUGAAAGGCCAAUCAAACUGAGAGAUAGCUCGUACUCCCCGAAAUGCUUUUAGGAGCAGCGUGGAAUUUAGUUUAUCAGAGGUAGAGCUACCGAUUGGACUAGGGGGAGUCAAAUCCUACCAAAUCCAGACGAACUCCGAAUGCUGAUAAAUAUAUUCCGCAGUGAGGGCUCGGGUGCUAAGGUCCGAGUCCGAGAGGGAAAGAACCCAGACCUACAGCUAAGGUCCCUAAAUUUGUAUUAAGUUGAACUAAGGAGGUUCAGUUGCUUAGACAGCCAGGAUGUUGGCUUGGAAGCAGCCAUUCAUUUAAAGAGUGCGUAACAGCUCACUGGUCGAGCGACAGAGCAUCGAUAAUAAUCGGGCAUCAAAUACAAUACCGAAGCUUAGGAUCAUUUAUGAUGGUAGGGGAGCAUUCACUAAACAAUGAAGGUGUGACGUGAGUUAUGCUGGAGACUAGUGAAGAGCAAAUGUAGGCAUAAGUAACGAUAAGGCAGGCGAGAAACCUGCCCACCGAUAGACUAAGGAUUCCCCGGCAAUGCUAAUCAGCCGGGGGUUAGUCGGGACCUAAGGCGAACCCGAAAGGGGUAGUCGAUGGACAACUGGUUAAUAUUCCAGUACUACUUUUAUUUUCGAUGGGGUGACGGAGUAGUGAAAGCACCGCGUACUGACGGAAUAGUACGUUGAAGGGUGUAGGUAUAGGCGAUGUAGGUAAAUCCGCAUUGCUUGCUGAACCUGAUAGUACCACAAAUCUUCGGAUGCGUGGAUAGUGUGCCUAAUCAGACUUCCAAGAAAAACCUCUAAGAUUAGAAUAAAAGUACCCGUACCGUAAACCGACACAGGUAGUCAAGGAGAGAAUCCUGAGGUGCUCGAGUGAUUCAUGGUUAAGGAACUAGGCAAAAUAGCCCUGUAACUUCGGGAGAAGGGGCUCCAACUUCGGUUGGACGCAGUGAAAAGACCCAGGCGACUGUUUAUCAAAAACACAUGGCUGUGCGAACGUGAAAGCGGAUGUAUACGGCCUGACACCUGCCCGGUGCUGGAAGGUUAAGGGGGGGAGUUAUCUUCGGAGAAGCUCUGAACUGAAGCCCCAGUAAACGGCGGCCGUAACUAUAACGGUCCUAAGGUAGCGAAAUUCCUUGUCGGGUAAGUUCCGACCCGCACGAAAGGCGUAAUGAUUUGGAUACUGUCUCGGAGAGGGGCUCGGUGAAAUAGACUUGUCUGUGAAGAUGCGGACUACCUGCACCUGGACAGAAAGACCCUAUGAAGCUUUACUGUAACUUGAAAUUGAAAUUGGACUUUAUUUGCGCAGCAUAGGUGGGAGGCGUUGAGUUUAUUCUUGCGGGAAUUUAGGAGCCAUCAGUGAGAUACCACUCUGGUAAUGUUAGAUUUCUAACUUUGUACCAUGAUCUGGUCAAAGAACAGUUUCAGGCGGGCAGUUUGACUGGGGCGGUCGCCUCCUAAAUGGUAACGGAGGCGUACAAAGGUUUCCUCUGAACGUGUAGAAAUCGUAUCUAGAGUGUAAAGGCAUAAGGAAGCUUGACUGUGAGACCUACAAGUCGAGCAGGGACGAAAGUCGGUCUUAGUGAUCUGACGGUGCUGAGUGGAAAGGCCGUCACUCAACGGAUAAAAGUUACUCUAGGGAUAACAGGCUGAUCUCCCCCAAGAGUUCACAUCGACGGGGAGGUUUGGCACCUCGAUGUCGGCUCAUC